AAAGGAAGGCCGAGUACAUUCAUCACCUUCACUCGACCUAUCACUCUACCAACAUGGCCGAGUAACACCAUCAUCAUUCACUCGACCAAUCACUCUACCAACAGGCCGAGUAACUCCAUCAUCAUUCACUCGACCAAUCACUCGACCAACUACUCUACCACACGGUCGAGUACAUUCAUCACCUUCACUCGAUCACUCUACCACCGAGCCGAGUACCAUCAUCUCUAUCACUCGACUAAAUACUCGACUGCCAGCUUCAGAGUCUUCUUCAUUCCGCACUCAACCAGACACUCGAGCACAAGGAAGAAAAGAAGACUCCAGCUUAUCACUCGACCUCUCACUCGACCACCUGGCUCGAGUACAGUUCUUAAUCCGUCCCAAUACUGCGUCGUUUUGAGUAUUAGGGUUUUGGAAUAUUUUGCUAUAAGUAGCAUGUACUUUACAUUUUCGAGAACAAGUU
rnacentral:sRNA from 1 species